GUCCACGCCGUAAACGAUGAGAGCUAGUUGUCAGUAGGCAUGCCUAUUGGUGACGCAGCUAACGCAUUAAGCUCUCCGCCUGGGGAGUACGGCCGCAAGGUUAAAACUCAAAGAAAUUGACGGGGGCCCGCACAAGCGGUGGAGCAUGUGGUUUAAUUCGAAGCAACGCGCAGAACCUUACCCACGCUUGACAUGUCCGGUUUGGUUUCCAGAGAUGGAUUCCUUCAGUUCGGCUGGCCGGAACACAGGUGCUGCAUGGCUGUCGU
rnacentral:rRNA from 1 species